GUAAAUACAAUGUAUUACCUUUCUCCGAACGACCGAUCGUUAGUGGCAUACAGUUGAAGUCGGAGGUUUACAUACACCUCAGCCAAAUACAUUUAAACUAAGUUUUUCACAAUUCCUGACAUUUAAUCCUAGUAUAAAUUCCCUGUAUUAGGUCAGUUAGGAUCACCACUUCAUUUUAAGAAUGUGAAAUGUCAGAAUAAUAGUAGAGAGAAUGAUUUCUUUCAUCACAUUCCCAGUGGGUCAGAAUUUUACAUAACACUCAAUUAGUAUUUGGUAGCAUUGCCUUUAAAUUGUUUAACUUGGGUCAAAUGUAUCGGGUAGCCUUCCACAAGCUUCCCACAUUAAUAAGUUGGGUGAAUUUUGGCCCAUUCCUCCUGACAGAGCUGGUGUAACUGAGUCAGGUUUGUAGGCCUCCUUGCUUGCACAUGCUUUUUCAGUUCUGCCCACAAAAUGUAUAUGGGAUUGAGGUCAGGGCUUUGUUAUGGUCCCUCCAAUACCUUGACUUUGUUGUCCUUAAGCCAUUUUGCCACAACUUUGGAAGUAUGCUUGGGGUCAUUGUCCAUUUGAAAGACCCCUUUGCGACCAAGCUUUAACUUCCUGACUGAUGUCUUGAGAUGUUGCUUCAAUAUAUCCACAUAAUUUUCAUUCCAAUAACAGAAUGAAAAAAAUGUCUCAUAUUUUGAUAUUCACUGCCCUACAACUCCUGUAAUUCAGUCCAAGCAGUGGACCUAGUUACUGUGAAAAUCAGCACAAAUGUUACUGAGAACCAGGUAGAAGAACUGAAGAGAGAUAAUGAAGGCAAUAUGAGGGACAAAUGAGGAAAAAAACGUUUGUAUUGAGAACAUAGUUGUUCAUUCUACUUUUUGGUCCAAGUGUUACCUGAACAAACCAAAAAAAGUAUGUACAACUGGUUACACACAGUGCUUUUAACAAGCAAUGUUUUCAACUUACAUAUUUGACACACGUUAACAUACAUUGUGUAAGUUAAUUUAUACAGUAAUUAUUAUUCAACAUGUCCUCACCAGGGAUUUGAACAUACAACCUCUUGGUUCAUGACAUUCUGAUCUUCCUGCUACUCCACCAUGUCUGCCAUUUGUCAGUUAAUC
rnacentral:lncRNA from 1 species